UACGGAGGAUCCAAGCGUUAUCCGGAAUCAUUGGGUUUAAAGGGUCCGUAGGCGGCCUUAUAAGUCAGUGGUGAAAUCUCACGGCUCAACCGUGAAAUGGCCAUUGAUACUGUAGGACUUGAGUAUAGUUGCCGUUGGCGGAAUAUGACAUGUAGUGGUGAAAUACAUAGAGAUGUCAUAGAACACCGAUUGCGAAGGCAGCUAACGAAACUAUAACUGACACUGAGGCUCGAAAGUGUGGGGAGUCAAACAGG
rnacentral:rRNA from 1 species